UUUACAAUGGAGAGUUUGAUCCUGGCUCAGGAUGAACGCUAGCGGGAGGCUUAACACAUGCAAGCCGAGGG
rnacentral:rRNA from 1 species